UCUGAAAACCAGUUCAGGAUAUCCACAUGCAAAAGAAUGUGUUGGACAUCUACUUCACACCAUAGACAAAAGUUAACUCCAAAUGGAUAAACAGCCUAAAGAUAAGAAUUAAAACCAUAAAACUCUUAG